rnacentral:rRNA from 1 species
CCAGACUCCUACGGGGAGGCAGCAGUGAGGAAUAUUGGUCAAUGGGCGAGAGCCUGAACCAGCCAAGUCGCGUGAAGGAAGACUGUCCUAUGGAUUGUAAACUUCUUUUGUACGGGAAUAAAGUGGGCUACGUGUAGCCUUUUGUAUGUACCGUACGAAUAAGGAUCGGCUAACUCCGUGCCAGCAGCCGCGGUAAUACGGAGGAUCCGAGCGUUAUCCGGAUUUAUUGGGUUUAAAGGGUGCGUAGGUGGAUUGAUAAGUCAGUGGUGAAAGUUUGCAGCUUAACUGUAAAAUUGCCGUUGAAACUGUCGGUCUUGAGUGCAAAUGAGGUAGGCGGAAUGCGUCGUGUAGCGGUGAAAUGCUUAGAUAUGACGCAGAACUCCGAUUGCGAAGGCAGCUUACUGGGAUGCAACUGACACUGAGGCACGAAAGCGUGGGUAUCAAACAGGAUUAGAUACCCUGGUAGUCCACGCAGUAAACGAUGAAUACUAGCUGUCUGCGAUAUACAGUAGGCGG